rnacentral:lncRNA from 1 species
AUGAAUGGAGUCUUUCUGCGAUCAGAGAGAAAUCCCUCCCCAGGGGACCCCGUUACCCGGAGAUUCUUUUUCCUCUUAAAUACACAGAGUUGUGCGUUUCAUGCACAUGAAAGCAAAAGAAGCACAAUUUCAAGCAUCAUAUGGACACAACAGAGAAUACUGCGCGUGAUAAUCAUUUUCAGGAACACACUGGUGCUGAAACGGCAGAGCAAGUGUGAUGGCCUUGCAUUAUUAUAUGCUGUGGAAGCUGGAUUAAUCCUGUCCUUGUACAGCGUUCUACUGCGCAUGUUGCAUGACAGGAGCACACACAAGGCUCCAUCUUGGCAACCCUUUACCAUUGCAAUAGGACAGCGGGAAUACAUAUUCUGUUCAGAUUUCUGAAAUUGAAAAAGAUAAGAAAAAAAGACGGGAAACGCCGUCGUAAUGAAAUUUCGCGCUGAUUCGCGCUGACUGAAGAAACGACGAGCAGAAUGCGAUAUAGACGCUGACUGGUCAUGAAGGCUUUUUAACGACCGAUUGCACUGUCAGCGCUACUGGAUCGGAUCUGUGGAACAACAACCGUUACCAUACUGAAAUGGUGAGUGAAACCGCGGGUUAUAUUUAAAGAAAAGAGCGAUCGAGCGUUUGAAAUCUGUGCGAUGAAUGGGGGGAGGUGCGACGCGCGUAAAUGCUGUCAUUCUGUGUUGUAUUUUCCCUCAUUAUCGUCAUCCCAACCCCCUCUUCGUCAUGGAGGAUACUGUUGCUGUUUUCCCUCUCCUCCAUCUGCUGCCAUGACCUGCUUUAUUUUCUAUCAUGCCUGAAUGCAACUUCUUCAACUUGAUGCUCAAAUGCAUCCACAGGUCGUUGCUAUACCUUUACGCUUUUGCAUAUACAUAAAAUAUAAGCAUGCCAGUAGGAACCUAGAGUGAUGAGGUUUGCCAAUAUGAGCAUCAUCUGUCAGUCUAAAAUUAUGUAAUUUGGGCCUAACUACGAUACUGUUUUAUAACUGAAAUAAAAUGAUAACCAUAACAUAAAUGUG